CAGAAAGUGAUCGAGACUCGGUGGCGGAGCGCACCGACUGCCGCCAGGAUGAGGAGGCUGCAGGAACUCACGACGACGAUGUUGUGGAGGCCGGUGGGAGUGAGAAGACUGAGGCAAAGCCCCGGGCUGGGGGACAUGAGGACGAGGCGGCCCCAGUACCUGAGGUGGAGGUGGAGGAGGAGGCGGGCCAGCCCCGUGAAAAUGGCCAGGAGGAGUCCUUAGCCAUCGCCUGGGCUGAGCCGGAAGACGAGCCUGGCCCCAAGGUGGACGGGGCGGACGAUGAAAUCUCUUGGAGCUUGGAGAGUGUGUGUGAGAGCGACCUCGC